CAAGAGCGUAUAUUAAAGUUGCUGCGGUUAAAAAGCUCGUAGUUGGAUUUCAGUCUAGGAAGGUUAACUCGCCGAAAGGUCGUACGUUGAUUUUCCUCAGACUUCGUCAGAAGCUCGUGCUGCACUUAACUGUGUGGUACGAUGUUCUGACCUUUUACCUUGAGGAAAGUAGAGUGUUUCAGGCAGGCUACCCAGCUUGAAUACAUUAGCAUGGAAUAAUGAAAUGGAUCUCGGUUCGAUUUCGUUGGUUCUAGAGCUGAGGUGAUGAUCAAUAGGAACAGGCGAAGGUAUUCGUACUUGAGAGUGAGGAGUGAAAUCCGAUGAUCUCUUAAAGACGAUCCGAGGCGAAAGCAUUUGUCAAGGAUGUUUUCAUUGA
rnacentral:rRNA from 1 species